UCUUAGCUCAGUCGCUAGAGCGUGAGACUCGUAAUCCCAGGGUUGUAGGUUGGAGCACCACGUUGGGCAAAA